rnacentral:rRNA from 1 species
UACGUAGGGUGCAAGCGUUAAUCGGAAUUACUGGGCGUAAAGCGUGCGCAGGCGGUUAUGCAAGACAGAUGUGAAAUCCCCGGGCUUAACCUGGGAACCGCAUUUGUGACUGCAUAGCUGGAGUACGGCAGAGGGGGAUGGAAUUCCGCGUGUAGCAGUGAAAUGCGUAGAUAUCUGGAGGAACACCGGUGGCGAAGGCGGCAUCCUGGACCAACACUGACGCUGAGGAGCGAAAGCCAGGGGAGCAAACGGG